UACGAAGGGGGCUAGCGUUGCUCGGAAUUACUGGGCGUAAAGCGCACGUAGGCGGCUCUUUAAGUCGGGGGUGAAAUCCUGGAGCUCAACUCCAGAACUGCCUUUGAUACUGAAGAUCUUGAGUCCGGGAGAGGUGAGUGGAACUGCGAGUGUAGAGGUGAAAUUCGUAGAUAUUCGCAAGAACACCAGUGGCGAAGGCGGCUCACUGGCCCGGUACUGACGCUGAGGCACGAAAGCGUGGGGAGCAAACAGG
rnacentral:rRNA from 1 species